rnacentral:rRNA from 1 species
UACGUAGGGUGCAAGCGUUGUCCGGAAUUAUUGGGCGUAAAGAGCUCGUAGGCGGUUUGUCGCGUCUGCUGUGAAAACUCGGGGCUUAACCCCGGGCCUGCAGUGGGUACGGGCAGACUAGAGUGCGGUAGGGGAGACUGGAAUUCCUGGUGUAGCGGUGAAAUGCGCAGAUAUCAGGAGGAACACCGGUGGCGAAGGCGGCCAUCUGGACCGCAACUGACGCUGAGGCGCGAAAGCGUGGGGAGCAAACAGG